rnacentral:rRNA from 1 species
ACGAACGCUGGCGGCGUGCUUAACACAUGCAAGUCGAACGGAAAGGCCCUGCUUUUGUGGGGUGCUCGAGUGGCGAACGGGUGAGUAACACGUGAGUAACCUGCCCUUGACUUUGGGAUAACUUCAGGAAACUGGGGCUAAUACCGGAUAGGAGCCCCUGCUGCAUGGUGGGGGUUGGAAAGUUUCGGCGGUUGGGGAUGGACUCGCGGCUUAUCAGCUUGUUGGUGGGGUAGUGGCUUACCAAGGCUUUGACGGGUAGCCGGCCUGAGAGGGUGACCGGCCACAUUGGGACUGAGAUACGGCCCAGACCCCUACGGGAGGCAGCAGUGGGGAAUAUUGCACAAUGGGCGGAAGCCUGAUGCAGCAACGCCGCGUGCGGGAUGACGGCCUUCGGGUUGUAAACCGCUUUCGCCUGUGACGAAGCGUGAGUGACGGUAAUGGGUAAAGAAGCACCGGCUAACUACGUG